rnacentral:rRNA from 1 species
AAUGAACGCUGGCGGCGCGCCUAAUACAUGCAAGUCGAGCGAGAAGACGUAGCAAUACGUUUGUAAAGCGGCGAACGGGUGAGGAAUACAUGGGUAACCUACCCUCGAGUGGGGAAUAACUAGCCGAAAGGUUAGCUAAUACCGCGUACGCUCCUUGGACUUCGGUUCAGGGAGGAAAGCGAUACCGUGGGUAUCGCGCUCUUGGAUGGGCUCAUGUCCUAUCAGCUUGUUGGCGAGGUAACGGCUCACCAAGGCUUCGACGGGUAGCUGGUCUGAGAGGACAAUCAGCCACACUGGCACUGCGACACGGGCCAGACUCCUACGGGAGGCAGCAGUAAGGAAUAUUGCGCAAUGGGCGAAAGCCUGACGCAGCGACGCCGCGUGGGGGAUGAAGGUC